CCACGAGGAAGGAUGGCGAGGGAGGAAACCGCGCUUUGUUGUUGAGGUGAGCCGGGUGCGCGACCACGAGGAAGGAUGGCGAGGGAGGAAACCGCGCUUUGUUGGUGAGGUGAGCUGGGUGCGCGAUCACGAGGAAGGAUCGCGAGGGAGGAAACCGCGCUUUGUUGGUGAGGUGUUCACGGAUAAUGAAGCUGAUGUGAGAGCCCUGGAGAGAAACAUCAGUCAAAGGCAUGCAGGGAAUCCCAUCCAGCGUCCCUCUACUCUCCUCUGCAGCUUCCAUGGUUGGAAUGCUGAGCCAUUGCUAGGACGAUGAGGCUACAGGAAAGUGAAAUGCACCUGCUGCGAUCUGAUCCAACUGACCACUCCUGCUGCUCCUCCCUUGCACCUCAGGCAUCUCCUUCCAAUCUGGAGGAAACACUUUUACCUCCACUUUUCUUUUACAGUCCUCCAAACUCUGUUCCUUCUAGGGAGCACAAGUACAGAAAUAGAAACCUGGACUCCCAUCAUCCUGCUUCACAAACUUACAAUGUUAAAGAAAGAAAAAAAAAAAGACCAAGUACAUUACCUGGUAGAAUUGGAGAGAUGGGCACGAAAGAGCUGUAAAUACAGUUAGAAAACACACUAGCAUUUACAAAUGUGUAUGAGAAACAAUGAGGAGGAUUUUCAGAGACUAUCAUAACCAUUUAUUUUUCUAAUAUGUGAUAAGUAAACGCACAGAAAAUCAAUUUAAUAUUUGGGGCUUUUAUUUCUCAUUUUUUAGAUUGCCAGAAAGACUGUCCAGUGUUAUAAAGUUUGUGUCAAUAUUCUGGAAUUGGCAAUUUUGUCAUUUAUAUGGGAGAAAUAGCUAAAGGUGUAGUAUAAAGUAUUUGCUCGUAGGUAAUGGAAUGUUACCUUUACCCAAAGAUAUAAAAAAUAAACGGUAGAACAAAAA
rnacentral:lncRNA from 1 species